CAGGCCUAACACAUGCAAGUCGAACGCCCCGCAAGGGGAGUGGCAGACGGGUGAGUAACACGUGGGAACGUACCCUUCGGUUCGGAACAACUCUGGGAAACUAGAGCUAAUACCGGAUACGAUCGCGAGAUGAAAGGUUCACCGCCGAAGGAUCGGCCCGCGUCUGAUUAGCUAGUUGGUGAGGUAACGGCUCACCAAGGCGACGAUCAGUAGCUGGUCUGAGAGGAUGAUCAGCCACAUUGGGACUGAGACACGGCCCAAACUCCUACGGGAGGCAGCAGUGGGGAAUAUUGGACAAUGGGCGCAAGCCUGAUCCAGCCAUGCCGCGUGAGUGAUGAAGGCCCUAGGGUUGUAAAGCUCUUUUACCUGGGAAGAUAAUGACGGUACCAGGAGAAUAAGCCCCGGCUAACUUCGUGCCAGCAGCCGCGGUAAU
rnacentral:rRNA from 1 species